rnacentral:rRNA from 1 species
GACGAACGCUGGCGGCGUGCUUAACACAUGCAAGUCGAACGGUGAAGCGCCUUCCUUUUUGGUGGGUGUGGAUGAGUGGCGAACGGGUGAGUAACACGUUAGUAACCUGCCCCCUUCUUCUGGAUAACCGCAUGAAAGUGUGGCUAAUACGGGAUAUUCUGGGUCUGUCGCAUGAUGGGUCUGGGAAAGAUAUUGUUUCGGUGGGGGAUGGGCUCGCGGCCUAUCAGCUUGUUGGUGGGGUGAUGGCCUACCAAGGCGGUGACGGGUAGCCGGCCUGAGAGGGUGGACGGUCACAAUGGGACUGAGACACGGGCCAGACUCCUACGGGAGGCAGCAGUGGGGAAUAUUGCACAAUGGGCGCAAGCCUGAUGCAGCGAAGCCGCGUGAGGGAUGGAGGCCUUCGGGUUGUGAACCUCUUUCGCCAGUGAAGCAGGCCUGCCUCGUUUGUGGGUGGGUUGACGGUAGCUGGAUAAGAAGCGCCGGCUAACUACGU